CACAGCCGGAUGGCUCGCGACGCCGUCACGGAAAAUAACAGGUAAACAUUCACUUCUUUAUUCCUAUUUAAAGCACUUUUGAACGUUAUUUUGUGUUUUGUCAAUUUUAUCUGAAGAUUAACCAGCUCAGUUAUCAUUGUAAUGUUAGCUAGCAAAGAAGCAAGGACAACCACAUCAAAGUUAUCAACGGCAAGUGUUAAAUAUGCAGUGGUAACCGUCACUCGCCACAGUACUCAAGCAAGGUAAAGCAAAGACAUAUUCCCUGUAUUACAAUGCCUUUAAACUUUUAGUUAAUCAUUAUUAUCCGCUUUGUCAGUUUCAUCUAGAAUAUCCAUGUGAUGCUGAUCAAGUUUUCUAAAUCCGCCGAACGCAGUGAACAAAGGGGCUGAGGAGCAUUUAUAAUGGCUGUUUUGUUAACUUUAGUUAACAUUUUACACAGUUAUUUGCUCCUCACGUUGUCUUUCUUAAAAUUCAUACUAACAAAUUGUUGUCAUGCUUUUGAAAUCAAUCUUUUCAGAGCAAAGGCAGCGAGGGGUGGUGUGAUGUCAUUUGCAACAAGAUGGGCCUAAAAUAAAGGACAAUAAUGGCAUCAGCCAUUCAAGUUAUGAUCCUGGCAGAUCUACUACUAUCUGAAAAGUAGUCUCUGCAGAUUGUUUCAAGAUACACAAGAUGGAGCGUGGAGAGACGGGACAUGGACCACAGUUUUUCAGCACCCACACACCACACUCAAAUUCAUAUAGAAGUUCUCAAUUAUUAAAUGUUAAUUUCAUAGUUUAUAUUUAGCUGUGAAGUUAUAGUUCAUUGUCAUAAAUAUUAAACUACAUAUUAUUAUUAUUAUUAUUAUACAUGAUAUGCAAAUUUCACCAAUUUGUUUAAUGUGUUAAUUAACUUUUUGAAAGUGAUUAUCUUUAAUAAUUCAGAUACCUGUUGAAAUGCACAUGUAAUUAUAUACUUGCUCGUAUCUGGAAGGUUGUGUUAAUAAAAAUGAUGUUGAAAGCGAAUGUUGCAAUACUGCUAAUCUUAAAAUAACAUUUUAUUAAACUAAACUUUGUAAUGUUCCAAAUAAAUGUUUUUAGGAUGUUGUA